rnacentral:lncRNA from 1 species
GCGCGUAUGGCGAGUGGCGACCUACGUGCUCAUAUGUGGAGCAUCAGGAUCGCGUGGAGGCUGAGGUACUCGUAUGUAGAGCAGCAGGCUCGUAUGGAGAUUAGGGUGCUCGCGUAUAAAGGAGCAUGCGCGUAUGGCGGCUUACGUGCUCGUAAGUAAAGGAGCAAGCGCGUGGACGGCGACUUACGUGCUUGUAUGUAAAGGAGCAUGCGCGGAUCGCGACUUACGUGCUCGCAUGUAAAGUAGUAUGCGCGCGAGGCAACUUACGUGCUUGUAUGUAAAGGAGCAUGCGCGGAUCGCGACUUACGUGCUUGUAUGUAAAGAAGCAUGCGCGGAUGGCGACUUACGUGCUCGUAUGUAAAGUAGUAUGCGCGCGAGGCGACUUACGUGCUUGUAUGUAAAGGAGCAUGCGCGGAUCGCGACUUACGUGCUUGUAUGUAAAGAAGCAUGCGCGGAUGGCGACUUACGUGCUUGUAUGUAAAGGAGCAUGCGCGUGGCGACUUACGUGCUCGUAUGUAAAGUAGUAUGCGCGCGAGGCGACGUACGUGCUCGCUUGUAAAGGAGCAUGCGCGCGUGGCGACUUACGUGCUCGUAUGUGGAGCAGCGGGCUCGCAUGGAGGCUGAGAUGCUCGUAUGUAGAGCAGCAGACUAGUAUGGAGACCAGCGUGCUCG